UACGAAGGGGGCUAGCGUUGUUCGGAAUUACUGGGCGUAAAGCGUACGUAGGCGGCUUGGCAAGUUAGAGGUGAAAGCCCGGAGCUCAACUCCGGAAUAGCCUUUGAGACUGCCUCGCUUGAACGUCGGAGAGGUGAGUGGAAUUCCGAGUGUAGAGGUGAAAUUCGUAGAUAUUCGGAAGAACACCAGUGGCGAAGGCGGCUCACUGGACGACUGUUGACGCUGAGGUACGAAAGCGUGGUGAGCAAACAGG
rnacentral:rRNA from 1 species